UACGGAGGGAGCUAGCGUUGUUCGGAUAUACUGGGCGUAAAGCGCACGUAGGCGGCGCAGCAAGUCGGGGGUGAAAUCCUGGAGCUCAACUCCAGAACUGCCUUCGAUACUGGAAAGCUCGAGUCCGGGAGAGGUGAGUGGAACUGCGAGUGUAGAGGUGAAAUUCGUAGAUAUUCGCAAGAACACCAGUGGCGAAGGCGGCUCACUGGCCCGGUACUGACGCUGAGGUGCGAAAGCGUGGGGAGCAAACAGG
rnacentral:rRNA from 1 species